rnacentral:rRNA from 1 species
UGCCUUACACAUGCAAGUCGAACGGUAACAGCACUUCGGUGGCUGACGAGUGGCGAACGGGUGAGUAAUACAUCGGAACGUGCCCGAGAGUGGGGGAUAACGCAGCGAAAGCUGUGCUAAUACCGCAUACGAUCUACGGAUGAAAGCAGGGGACCGCAAGGCCUUGCGCUCAUGGAGCGGCCGAUAUCUGAUUAGCUAGUUGGUGAGGUAAAGGCUCACCAAGGCGACGAUCAGUAGCUGGUCUGAGAGGACGACCAGCCACACUGGAACUGAGACACGGUCCAGACUCCUACGGGAGGCAGCAGUGGGGAAUUUUGGACAAUGGGCGCAAGCCUGAUCCAGCAAUGCCGCGUGCAGGAUGAAGGCCUUCGGGUUGUAAACUGC